rnacentral:rRNA from 1 species
GUUUGGCUGGAGGCUAUGUUUUUGGUAAACAGUCGGGUCUUGGGUUUGCCGAGUUCCUUUUGCAGAUUUUGAUCGCUCCAUUGUGCGCUCCUGGGUUGGAUUAACAGGGUAUGUUCAAUGUUUGGCUGGAGGAGGGGUGCUGUUAUUGAGGUUGUACUGUUAAUGGUGUGUAGGCUGGCGCUUAGGGGGACAUGGUGUCCUAGUUACUCGUUCUAGCAUUGAUUCAUCUAUUAUUAUAGGUUAGCUUGCUGUGGGUGUAGGGAGUCGCGUUAGUUUUAGGGGUUUUUAGUUGGGGGAGCUUUGACGCAAUCUUUGGGGGUGGCUGCUUUGAGGCCUACGGGGUUGUGUGUUGUGGGGUUAUCCGCUAGAGGAGGUUGUGUCCUUUUUUAAAGGGGCUGUACCCCCUUUAAAUAGCUCUUAACCUAUUACGUUUAAGUUGGGCUAGGUCUGGGGAAAAUGGAGGUUAAGGGAGAACUUAAAUUCGUUUUGCAGGCAACCAGCUAUCACCCAGCUCGGUUGGCUUUUCACCACUACUAACAAGUCAUCCCACUCUUUUGCAAUAGAGACGGGUUAGCUCAUGGUAGCUGCUUGUAAGUAGCUCGCUUGGGUUUCGGGGUGACAGGCUUAAGUUCGUUUUGCCUGGUUGUUCUUGCUAGAUCAUGGUGCGAAAGGUACAAGGGUUUAUCUUUGCUAUGUUGUGCUUAGUUUUCAUUGUUAUUUCAUCUUUCCCUUGCGGUACUAUCUCUAUAGCGCCCAUGGAUGUACUUUUCUAUCGCCAAUACUAGGUUGUGGGUAAUGUUUUAGUUGGGUAGAGUAGUGGGUUCUUGAUGGAGGUUGAUGGGGCUAGGGUAGGCUU